rnacentral:tRNA from 1 species
GCGGGAAUAGCUCAGUUGGUAGAGCACGACCUUGCCAAGGUCGGGGGGGGUCGCGAGUUCGAGUCUCGUUUCCCGCUCCA